rnacentral:rRNA from 1 species
UACGUAGGGGGCUAGCGUUGUCCGGAAUCAUUGGGCGUAAAGCGCGUGUAGGCGGUUCGGUAAGUCCGCUGUGAAAGUCGGGGCUCAACCCUCGAAUGCCGGUGGAUACUGUCGAACUAGAGUGCGGAAGAGGCGAGUGGAAUUCCUGGUGUAGCGGUGAAAUGCGCAGAUAUCAGGAGGAACACCAAUUGCGAAGGCAGCUCGCUGGGACGUAACUGACGCUGAGACGCGAAAGCGUGGGGAGCAAACAGG